GGCGGGCUUGGGCACCGGUGGGCCUCAUAGGGGAUGGGGGUGGUGACGUCAGGAGGGCCACAGUGAGAGCCGCCUGGUGAUUGGCUGUACAAGCGAGGCCGAGCCAAGAGCCUCCUGAUGAUUGGCUUAGGGUCACCAUGGAAACCCCUGGGUGGAGCUUUGGUGAUGGGCGGGGUCCCAGGGAGAACCCACACCGCGCGACCAACAGCCCGCCUGCUGCACGCCUGAGACCGAGCUGAGAGCCUCCUGAUGAUUGGCUAGGGGACAGCCGUGACGUCAGGAGGAGGCAGUGUGACGCAAGGGGUGGGUAUAAAAGCCAGGGGCCAGUCCCAGGCCUCGCUGAAGGGACAGACGGUGUUACGGGUGGGGCUCCCGCUGCUCAUGGCUGCAUUCUCCGCCCCACAGGACAGCGACCCCCAUCCCACUCGUCCUGCCCAGGGCCUCUCGCACAGAGUGGCCGAAUCCCCCGGACACCAGGCCAGGGGGAGCCCUCCCACCCAGCUUAGCAGAGGGACCCUCCGGCAGUGUCAGGGCACGGAGAGUGUGCAGCCAAGGAACCCGACAAGCUGGCUGCAGAUUUACGGUGAGAGUUGUCAUGAGACGGCUCAGCCGCGUCAACAGUUGGGUGAGAGAUUCCUUUUGAUGAUGGUGUCCGUGUGGGCUUCUGGGGUGAGAAUCCGCAUGUCGGAUCCAAGGAGCUGAUAAGUGCCCGUGUGAUGACACCUCCAGUCAAGGCAGAAGUCAUACCAGUGUCCCCACGUGGAGGGGCCCCGGGGCCAAAUAAAACUCACUCAGCGCCAAUUCCCUAUGGUUCGCCCUUCUUUCAUUUAUUCUUCCCAUGACCCUCCACAUGGGGGCGCUAUGAUUACUCCUCAUUUCACAGAUGAGGAAGUUGUGGCUCAGAGAGGGAAAGCCACCCGCCCGGCGUCACACAGCGAGGCUGAGUUUAGCUGGCCACUCAGGAGAGAUUGAGAGAGAAGCUGGGGAGAUUCCAGCAGGUUCUGGGUGUGUGUGGAGGGGGCGGAGAGAGGGACCAGGAGAAGAAGGGCCUUCUCACGUCCAUCUGUCACUGUGUCUGACGUCCCCUCUGUCUGUACAUUUAGCCUUCAACCGGGUGACGGUUUGAUUGUACGGAGCUAAGAAUAUCUCGGAACAAUGCAAAGUGGCCUCGAGAUGCAGGGAGGCAAGAGGCAGAGAGGGGAGGAAGGAGAGAGAGGGAGGGAAGUCUCGUCCUCACGUGGCCCCCCAGACUCCUCCUGUCGCUUCCACCGACCGCACCGUUCCUGUGUCCCCACGGCAAAAACAAGCCCCCUCUGUCACCAUCUCCCGGUGGAGAAGGCCGUUACUAUAUUUACAGGCGCCGGGCACCUGUGGAGAGGUUUCAAAAUAUGCGUCCUGCCGUCAGAAUUCAGGGUCAAGCUCCCCGUUCCUUGGCUGCCCGGGCCCGUGGCUUCACCUCAUCGGGCCUCAGUUUCUCCAUCCGUCAAGUGGGAUUUGUAAUCCCCCCUCUGAGGGCAGCUGCGAGGAUGAAACGCAUUGGAAGAGGGCCCAGCGCCCUGGGGUCUUUGCUAAAUGUCAGCUGCUGGUGUGGUGGUGGCCAUGGGGGCGUGUGGGACAGAAUUGAAGGACCCCCCCGGGGGGCCCCAGCGUGGGCUGCGGAG
ensembl:lncRNA